GAUGAACGCUGGCGGCGUGCCUAACACAUGCAAGUCGAGCGGCAGCGAGUUUCUCACUGUUUGCUCCUCUCGGUUUCAUUUGGAAUCGAUUUUUAGAGGAGUGAAGAGUGAGAAAUGUCGGCGAGCGGCGGACGGCUGAGUAAUGCGUGGGAAUUUGCCCCAAAGUGAGGGAUAACCGCCCGAAAGGGUGGCUAAUACCGCAUAUGGUCUUCGGAUUAAAGGAUUUAUCCGCUUUGGGAGAAGCCCGCGUCAGAUUAGGUAGUUGGUGAGGUAAAGGCUCACCAAGCCGACGAUCUGUAGCUGGUCUGAGAGGAUGACCAGCCAGACUGGGACUGAGACACGGUCCAGACUCCUACGGGAGGCAGCAGUGAGGAAUCUUCCACAAUGGGGGAAACCCUGAUGGAGCAACGCCGCGUGCAGGAUGAAGGCCUUCGGGUCGUAAACUGCUUUUAUUUGUGAUGGAUAUGACAGUAGCAAAUGAAUAAGGGUCGGCUAACUACGUGCCAGCAGCCGCGGUCAUACGUAGGACCCAAGCGUUAUCCGGAGUGACUGGGCGUAAAGAGUUGCGUAGGCGGAUAGUAAAGCGAAUAGUGAAAUCUGGUGGCUCAACCACACAGGCUAUUAUUCGAACUCGCUAACUCGAGAGUGGUAGAGGUAACUGGAAUUUCUUGUGUAGGAGUGAAAUCCGUAGAUAUUAGAAGGAACACCAAUGGCGUAGGCAGGUUACUGGGCCAUUUCUGACGCUAAGGCACGAAAGCGUGGGGAACGAACCGGAUUAGAUACCCGGGUAGUCCACGCCGUAAACGAUGGAUACUAGCUGUAGGGGGUAUCGACCCCCCCAGUAGCGAAGCUAACGCGUUAAGUAUCCCGCCUGUGGA
rnacentral:rRNA from 1 species